CUGUACUAUUGGCUAUAUUAUGGCGGCCUGUUUUAUUUGUGAAGUAAGUUGAGUUCAAAGAGAGGAGCACAUACGUUUGACAGGAAACUUGGCGAUCCUAGUCAAAUAAGAUAAAAAUCGAACACCUACCACGAGCGAGAUACAAACUCACAAACUUUGUAUAGAUAAUCUAUAGUGAUCCCUAAGGAGACAGGCCAGCCAGUGUAUAACAAAAAGCUUUGAAAAACACACAAACAAACUAACGGAAAAGCCAAUAAGUUGCUUUUUCCAAGUCAAAAUAAUAUCUGUUGUUCAUGUUGAAUUGUGGGUUUUUUCUUUUCGGAUAAGUCUGGUGUAGAUAGUUUUUAUGAUCUCUGGCACUGUCCAAUAUUUUUUUGUUAUUCGUGUUAUCGUAUUUGUGUACAGAAUAGCCCCCUCCCUCCCCCAAAAAGCAAAAACAAAAAAAUCCAAACAAACCUCAACAUUAUCUCAAAAUUUGUUGACACAGAAAAAGAUGAAAGAAAUAUCGAAAUAUAUUUCAAGUACUUAUGUUUUGAAUGUAUAAUUACAUAAACAAUACCAAUGUUAUUACACCAGAUACGCAUUUCGACAUUUAACCCCUACCGAAAAAAAAGGCUUGUGGCAAACGUUUGAAGUAAACUAGCAGCACACAUUGGAUAUGAUGAACCAUAACAUGUUCAAGUACUGAAUUUGUAUUUAGUUUGAGGUAGCGGUCAGUCAUUAUAAUAUUUAUGAUAUCUGUGUAUAGGAAGCCGGAGAGAACAACAUGACUUCGGAAGGAAAACAUAAAAUCCUAGUCAAUUAAGAUCUGAGUCGAGCGCUAAUGCCACGGGAUUCGAACUCACAACCUCAGUGUUGACAGACCAAUGACACAUUAGUUCGACUACUCGGCCAUCGAGGCAAAUUUGAAGUUGAACAAUCAUUAAUCAUCUCCAUCUACAAAAAAGAAGAAAAGUUAUAAAAUAGAUCCGUAAAUAAUUUGAAAGAGUUUGAAAGAAAUUUAUAUAAUAAUAAAAUCCAGGAAAC
rnacentral:lncRNA from 1 species